AAAUUGAAGAGUUUGAUCAUGGCUCAGAUUGAACGCUGGCGGCAGGCCUAACACAUGCAAGUCGAACGGUAGCACAGAGAGCUUGCUCUCGGGUGACGAGUGGCGGACGGGUGAGUAAUGUCUGGGAAACUGCCUGAUGGAGGGGGAUAACUACUGGAAACGGUGGCUAAUACCGCAUAACGUCGCAAGACCAAAGAGGGGGACCUUCGGGCCUCUUGCCAUCAGAUGUGCCCAGAUGGGAUUAGCUUGUUGGUGAGGUAACGGCUCACCAAGGCGACGAUCCCUAGCUGGUCUGAGAGGAUGACCAGCCACACUGGAACUGAGACACGGUCCAGACUCCUACGGGAGGCAGCAGUGGGGAAUAUUGCACAAUGGGCGCAAGCCUGAUGCAGCCAUGCCGCGUGUAUGAAGAAGGCCUUCGGGUUGUAAAGUACUUUCAGCGGGGAGGAAGGUGUUGUG
rnacentral:rRNA from 6 species